UGCCUUCCUGUUCGCAUCAUGCAGUUGAACAGAAGCAAAGAUCAAGAAACUGUUCGGAGAGGAGAAAUGUCAACAAAUGGCUCCACUGAGAUGCAGCAUGCUGUUACACAAAACCUGGACAAAACCUCUCCUGAAAACAAGGACUCCUUUUCCUGCAAUCCUGAACAUCUGAAAAGGAUUGGCUCACCCAACACUGAGGAACCCUCAUCCAAACGUAUAUCACAGCACAUCGUUAAGCAAGAUGAUGAAGGCGUCUUGUGCAACAGGACCUCAACCAGUAACACUCCUCUGUAUACAAAAGUUACCUUCCAACAUAAAUUUUGUGUGGAAUCCUUCUGUGUUGAUCCAUCAAGUGACCGCCCCAUGAAGAUCAAUUGGUGCUUCCCCAUCAAAAUAGACAUACAGGACAUCCUACAGCACAGUGAGAUCCGCUGUGGCUCCUUCUCUGAUGGAGAGACCCCUACUACAGUGGUUACUGUCAAACUGAACCAGGACCACUUGAACCUUUUUCAACAGAAGAUCAUUCAAAUGGAUUCCAAUUUUUGUUUACCAAACAUCAACAACAUGAAUAAUAACUUAAGCCAAAAGUGGCGCUAUCUUGUACAGUACCGUAAUACGGACUUGAAGUGCCAUGACAGGAAAAAUCAACAUGCGGUUGCUUUGGUUUUUAUGGACAAUUUUGCAUAUGUUGCUUUUUAUGCAGAAAAACCCAUAUUCAGAGAAAAAAACAAAGAUUCUGGAUCAAAACACUGUGAGGAACGAUUAGUUGAUCAAAUCAAUACAUAUUUAAAAGAUAAUUCAGAAAAACUAGAGAACAAAAGGGUGGAUAUUUUCAUUUACACAUACAACAGCCCCUGUCUAAAACGAGAACGUACUUCCUUUUUAUGCUGCUUUUAUCUAAUUUUGAAAAAAGCAUUUGAGUGGCACAAAAAAUAUAAUGUCUUUACUCAGGUCGGAUUUACGAAAUACUGGGGACCAGUUACCCCAAACAUUUUUAAAGACCUCACAUGGUCUGACAUCUCCAAAAUCUGCACUCUCCCUCCACUUGACUGGAGUGACUUCAUUGUGACGUGGAAUAACCUGGAGACAAAAACUAAAGAGGCAGAAGUCCAUCUGCAGUCGGUGUUUUUGAAGAUAAAUUUCAUAGUUAUGCAAAAUAUCAAGGAAUGGACAAAAGACUUUCAGAAACAAACCGAAGAAAUGAAAUGCCAUAUUCAAAAGGUUUCACAAAGUCUUAAUGGUCUGGAAUGUUGUAUAAACCAACAGCAAAAAGACAUUCAGAUCGAUGAAUUUAAGAUCUUCCAAAAAGAACUGACGUGGAAAGAAAUUAAAAUAGCUGGGGACAUGUUGAAAAAAAGAACUAAAAAAAUAAAAUCCCUACUGUAUUCCAUGUCAAAAAAAAUUGAAAAUUUGAACACACAUUUUAAAAAAUGUGCAGAAUACUUUGAUCCAAAAGCUGAGAAUCAAAUUAGUGAUUCAAAGAUACUUUAUGAAGAAGCUAAAAACAUGAUUGCAACAGGUCUUGCAACCGAUAACCUGUUCAAGGAUUUAGAAACCUUAAAACAGAAAAUUGAAAACUUUUCAAAACGUGUAGAAAAGAAAAUGUUUCCUUCUGCUACAUCUCAAGCAAACCGUGUGAUCACUCAUAUUUUACUAACACUGAAUCAGUUUAUUUUGGGUGAAAACAGCUGUUUACAGUUGUGCUUCAUCCCAGAAGAACACCCAGAAGAACACUACAAACUGACCUCCAGUGUCUUAAAAAGAGGUCCAAACUUUGAGCUGGUUACAGUUUAGACUUCUGAUUCUCAAUAAUAUAAAAAGGCUAUAAGUUUUUUUCAUUAUUAAGCAGGCCAUUCCCCUGUCAGGAUUUAGACAAUGGGUUCUGCUUAGAGAGCCCAUUGUUUUAAUGUUAGUGUGGUGGUGAACGUGGUAUGCUCGGGAGCACAUUCAGGGAUUUCUGGAGGGUCACUGAUCCCCAGCCCACUGAGUUACAGUGCAUAAGUGAGGUAGAAUCUGGUAUGAGAUUAGGGUGGGGAAUGGAAUAAUUAGUUUGAUUGCUGCCAAGCAAUUAAACUUUAGUUAUUUACCCUGUUUACUAUAAUUAGUUUGAUUGCUGUAAAGCAAUUAAACUUUAGUUAUUUACUGUUUACUAUAGUUUGAUUGCUGUAAAGCAAUUAAACUUUAGUUAUUUACCCUGUUUACUAUAGUUUGAUUGCUGUAAAGCAAUUAAUCUUUAGUUAUUUACCCUGUUUACUAUAAUUAGUUUGAUUGCUGUAAAGCAAUUAAACUUUAGUUAUUUACCCUGUUUACUAUAGUUUGAUUGCUGUAAAGCAAUUAAACUUUAGUUAUUUACCCUGUUUACUAUAAUUAGUUUGAUUGCUGUAAAGCAAUUAAACUUUAGUUAUUUACCCUGUUUACUAUAGUUUGAUUGCUGUAAAGCAAUUAAACUUUAGUUAUUUACCCUGUUUACUAUAAUUAGUUUGAUUGCUGUAAAGCAAUUAAUCUUUAGUUAUUUACCCUGUUUACUAUAGUUUGAUUGCUGUAAAGCAAUUAAACUUUAGUUAUUUACCCUGUUUACUAUAAUUAGUUUGAUUGCUGUAAAGCAAUUAAACUUUAGUUAUUUACCCUGUUUACUAUAGUUUGAUUGCUGUAAAGCAAUUAAACUUUAGUUAUUUACCCUGUUUACUAUAGUUUGAUUGCUGUAAAGCAAUUAAACUUUAGUUAUUUACCCUGUUUACUAUAGUUUGAUUGCUGUAAAGCAAUUAAACUUUAGUUAUUUACCCUGUUUACUAUA
ensembl:lncRNA uncharacterized LOC114442662